UACGUAGGUGGCAAGCGUUGUCCGGAUUUAUUGGGCGUAAAGAGCGCGUAGGCGGCCGAGUAAGUCCGACGUGAAAUCUGGAGGCUCAACCUCCAGCGGUCGUUGGAAACUACUCGGCUAGAGUCCGGAAGAGGAGAGUGGAAUUCCUGGUGUAGCGGUGAAAUGCGCGGAUAUCAGGAAGAACACCGAUGGCGAAAGCAGCUCUCUGGGACGGUACUGACGCUGAGGCGCGAAAGCGUGGGGAGCGAACAGG
rnacentral:rRNA from 1 species